UGAUUUAGGGUGUGCGGUUAUAAUCCGUU
rnacentral:piRNA from 1 species